rnacentral:siRNA from 1 species
AACACCACAACGUUAUCUGUCGU